GGUAAGACCCCUUAGAGACGAUGAGGUAGAUAGGCUUCGGGUGUAAGUACGGUGACGUAUUGAGCCGGGAAGUACUAAUCGGUCGAGGGCUUGACCUC
rnacentral:rRNA from 1 species